rnacentral:rRNA from 1 species
CCUACGGGAGGCAGCAGUGAGGAAUAUUGGUCAAUGGGCGGGAGCCUGAACCAGCCAAGUCGCGUGAGGGAAGACGGUCCUAUGGAUUGUAAACCUCUUUAGGCGGGGAGCAAUGCCUGGCACGCGUGCCCGGAGGGAGAGUACCCGCAGAAUAAGCAUCGGCCACCUCCGUGCCAGCAGCCGCGGUAAUACGGAGGAUGCGAGCGUUAUCCGGAUUUAUUGGGUUUAAAGGGUGCGUAGGCGGAUUGGCAAGUCAGAUGUGAAAGCCUGGGGCUUAACCGCAGAACUGCAUUUGAAACUGUUGGUCUUGAGUACUGGAGAGGCAGGCGGAAUUCCUAGUGUAGCGGUGAAAUGCGUAGAUAUUAGGAGGAACACCAGUGGCGAAGGCGGUCUGCUGGACAGCAACUGACGGUGAGGCGCGAAAGCGUGGGGAGCAAACAGGAUUAGAUACCCUUGUAGUC